UACGUAGGGUGCAAGCGUUGUCCGGAAUUAUUGGGCGUAAAGAGCUCGUAGGCGGCUUGUCGCGUCGGAUGUGAAAACCUGGGGCUCAACCCCGGGCCUGCAUUCGAUACGGGCAGGCUAGAGUUCGGUAGGGGAGACUGGAAUUCCUGGUGUAGCGGUGAAAUGCGCAGAUAUCAGGAGGGACACCGGUGGCGAAGGCGGGUCUCUGGGCCGAUACUGACGCUGAGGAGCGAAAGCGUGGGGAGCAAACAGG
rnacentral:misc_RNA from 1 species